rnacentral:rRNA from 1 species
CUCUCAACCCCAAAGUCACUUGGUGGUAUGGGUUUCCGGGAUAUAUCGCUGUUUAAUCAAGCGAUGCUCGGUAAGCAGGGCUGGAGACUUGUAACUGAACCUGAUUCUUUAUGUGCCCGUGUCUUGAAAGGAAGGUAUUUUCUGACUGGGAACUUUUGGAGUGCCUCAGCACCUCGGACUGCAUCGGCGACUUGGCGUGCUCUCCUUCAUGGC